UACGUAGGGGGCAAGCGUUGUCCGGAUUUAUUGGGCGUAAAGAGCGUGUAGGCGGCCUGAAAGGUCAGCUGUGAAAACUCGAGGCUCAACCUCGAGACGUCGGUUGAAACCAUCUGGCCAGAGUCCGGAAGAGGAGUGUGGAAUUCCCGGUGUAGCGGUGAAAUGCGCAGAUAUCGGGAAGAACGCCCGUGGCGAAGGCGGCUCUCUGGGACGGUACUGACGCUGAGACGCGAAAGCGUGGGGAGCGAACAGG
rnacentral:rRNA from 1 species